UGAGGUCCAUUCACUGAAACUAUUCCUCACAAGGAAGCCAAGUUUUGCUCACUAAUAUUUCCCAAGAAGUGAGUCUCAUCGGAAGAAGGAAGGCAAGGAAACCAUAUAAAAGUCCUCACUGUUCGCUCUGAUAGAUACACACCUGAGCUCUUGACUGAUACACAUUGACCUUUUGGCACUUCCAAGCAGACAGGAAUCGCCAUGUGCUCCCGCGGGGAUAGAGAUUGCCACAAGCCACCUCAACAGGAGGCUCCAUCAUGCCACCGGGGUAGAAGUUCUUGCCACGAGGAGAAGGAAAGAUCUUGCCACAACAGAGAAAGUUCUCCUGGCUGUGGUUCCAGGCAGCCAAGUUGUGGCGCAAAGCCUGUUCCAAGUUGCCAACAGCAAACUCCAGGGGUGGUUGUCCCACCUCCAUGCCAACAACAGCAACAGGUUAAGCAGCCGACCCAGUGGCCUUCACAGAACCAGAAGUAGAGAAGAACAGGAUGGAAGAAAAGCCUUUAGUAGAUAGAUGGAGAUCCAUGUGGUUUUUAGGUUGUCUAUGGCUCUAAGAAAUCUAUCUGGAUGCCCAUUUGCCUUCUUAUGAAUCAGAUGUCUUCUCUGUUUGGUACUGAAAUGUUACAUUGGCGUUCUUUAUGUCCCUUGACGUUUGAUUGGGGAAAAAAAUCACCUGUUUGUUACUUGACUUCCAUGUUGACAACAGGAAUCAUUAAACAAUAUGUUUCACUUGAGUGUUUUGGUGCAUUGUCUCCUUCCAUAUUCAAUUUGUGGUUUUGAGGGUUAAACUAAACAUCUCAAGAAGUUUGAAAUUGGAACAGAAAAUUAAAAUUUACAUACUCCUAUGAUUUAAAAGAAAAUUGGAUGAAGAUGCUAUACAGGUGGCAUAUAACACCAAAAAAAUUAGGUCUGAUAAAUAAAAGCAUGAAUACAAAAUGUUGGAAGUGUGGAGAGGAAGAGGGCACAUAUUUCCAUAUGUGGUGGAAAUGCAGGAAAGCUAAAGAAUUCUGGUCAAUAAUCCAUGAAAGCCUGCAAAAGAUAAUAGAAAAAAGAUUUAAUAAACUACCCGAAUUAUACUUACAGUAGAGUCUCACUUAUCCAACACUCGCUUAUCCAACAUUCUGGAUUAUCCAACGCAUUUUUGUAGUCAAUGUUUUCAAUAUAUCAUGAUAUUUUGGUGUAAAAUUCAUAAAUACAGUAAUUACUACAUAGCA